UGGGGAAUCUUGCGCAAUGGGCGAAAGCCUGACGCAGCAACGCCGCGUGGGGGAUGAAGGCCCUCGGGUUGUAAACCCCUUUCAGCAGGAACGAAAAUGACGGUACCUGCAGAAGAAGGUCCGGCUAACUACGUGCCAGCAGCCGCGGUAACACGUAGGGGCCAAGCGUUGUCCGGAUUCAUUGGGCGUAAAGAGCUCGUAGGCGGUUCAGUCAGUCGGGUGUGAAAUCUCCGGGCUCAACCCGGAGGGGCCACCCGAUACUGCUGUGACUCGAGUCCGGUAGGGGAGUGGGGAAUUCCUGGUGUAGCGGUGAAAUGCGCAGAUAUCAGGAGGAACACCGGUGGCGAAGGCGCCACUCUGGGCCGGUACUGACGCUGAGGAGCGAAAGCGUGGGGAGCAAACAGGAUUAGAUACCCGCGUAGUCC
rnacentral:rRNA from 1 species